rnacentral:rRNA from 1 species
GGGGGGGGCAAGCGUUGUUCGGAAUUACUGGGCGUAAAGGGCUCGUAGGUGGCCAACUAAGUCAGACGUGAAAUCCCCAGGCUUAACCUGGGAACUGCGUCUGAUACUGGAUGGCUUGAAUUCGGGAGAGGGAUGCAGAAUUCCAGGUGUAGCGGUGAAAUGCGUAGAUAUCUGGAGGAAUACCGGUGGCGAAGGCGGCAUCCUGGACCGAGAUUGACACUGAGGAGCGAAAGCUAGGGGAGCAAACGGGAUUAGAUACCCCGGUAGUCCUAGCCCUAAACGAUGAAUGCUUGGUGUGACGGGUAUCGAUCCCUGUCGUGCCGAAGCUAACGCAUUAAGCAUUCCGCCUGGGGAGUACGGUCGCAAGGCUG